GGGAGAGACAGACGAGCCCGCUGCCAAAGCUCAGAAACUAUCCUAGGUAGACAGAACCGUCAAUGAGACGCGGAUGCAGUCUCACGGUUCACGACAUGCUGCCACAAGAACCUACCUCACUCGGUUGACAACUCUGAGAAAUAGAACUCCUUUCACGCCUCCACUGCUGAGAACCAGCCGCAGAAUCCACAAAGAACAUGAACAACUUGGCUACCAGAGCCACCACAACCACCAUAAUAACCAAGAAACGAGAUACUAAUCCCACGCCGGAGCGACAGACCACAGCAGGCUACACCAAAGCAACGCCACAACAGAUCCAAGGAGAACAUACCUUAUCUGAACUCUACGCACCGUCACGCGCUCAGGUCAGACCCUAGCUCGACCAAAAACUGAAACCCCGUUCCGGCGAAUGAAGCAAGCGAGAGAUUGGGUUGACGCCGAUCCAAUCCCACUCCUUUCCACCACUUUGGUACUGCCGACUCACCGGAGGAAGCUGCAGCGACGAACCAGACAGCACCGACCUCCCACAAAACCGCCCCCACGAUAAUACUGAAACUUUCAAAGCUGAUAUGCUAAAAACAAAUAUAAGCUAGCUCUAAAGUAAAUACCGGUCAGUCAACCGGGUUGCCGAUCAUGUCUACCAAAUAGUCCAAAUUACCACAGUUAAUCUUAAAACGAACCACGAGGAUCUGUAGCUCUCUUAGACAUGAUAACAGUCCAUCCAUUUCCGCAUGUAAAUCCAAGAGGAAACUUUUUUCAAUCUAUUGGACACUUUGUGUUAAUCUAGAAAUAAUGUAUAUAAACCAAGUGCAAAGACUUACUUCGAACAAGUAUACCUGAUUUGCGUGUUUAAACCAUACCCAUUUGUACCAUUUAGUUCUCAGCUUUUCAUCUCUCAGAAGUUCCCAAGUCCGUUUUGAAUCCAACUUCCUUGAAAAUUUGUUUGAUGCAUUGUUUCACAGGACCACAUCCUCGACUUGUUCCAUACAUUUCAACUUCUCAAUCUCUGUUUCAUUUAGGGUUGUUGACAUGUGUUUUGAUGAUAUAGGCGUCUCACACCAUGCCAACCGUUCUGUGAGCAGACAUACACAUAUCAAUAUAAUCCUCUAGGACUUGUUAGCUCAUGCAGUCUUCCCAUAUACGACUAGUGAUCAAAAUAUAAGAAAGAAUUCUCAACAUUGUGGAUAUGAAGUCGAUAGAAAUAUUAUGUAGUGUCUCUGAAUUACAUGAGUUUUGUCCACAUCCAUGAUCCUCUACUUGAAUUCUAUAAUCCAUUUAAUCCAUAAAACUGAUUGAGGGGAGAUGAGUCUCCAAAUAAGCUUCAAGAAAUAUACUUCGUUUGGUUUGUUUACCAAUUUUAUCUCAAGGCCUCCGCCAAAUUUUGGAACACAUAGAUCUAUACAUACUAUUUUGUCAUUCCUUGGGUUUAGCUCCAAAUCCAACCAUAAGAAAAUAGACCAGAGUUUGUUUAUCUCAUCCACACAACUAUUGAGAAGUCUAUAAGCUGAAAUUCAUUAAUCCAAUAUGCUGGUGAUUGAUGAGUUUAGAAGUUGAAGUCUCCUGCAUAUGAGAGGAAUUGAUUUGUCAAAAAACCCAUGUUAGAUCAAAUUAUUUAUGUCAAAGGAAUGUAGCUUGCUUUAGAUAUCUUCUUCCCAUCAGCAAAUAUUAUUAGAUUAUUGGCAAAUCACAAAUGGGUCAGUUGAAUUUGCUUACACUAAGGGUGGAAUCUUAUUCUUCUUUCUGCUGGCGCUGCUUAUUGAUCAGUCUAGAGAACAAAUUCAACAUAUUACAAAUAAAUAUGGUGAAAGCAAACAUCCCUCUCACUCUGAAGUUAAUUUACCCUUUACUAGUACCGAAAAUGAAGUCACUGAUAUGUAAAGAUUGAUCCAAUAUACAAACUCAACCUAAAAUUCAGAGUCAUAAUGUGUUUAACAUGAAAAUUAAUUGGACCGUCAGAUGCUAGUCCCAACCAUUGUGUCCCUUAGCCCAAAUGUUGCAACCAUUCAACCCAAGCAUCACGAACCUUCAACCAAGGCAUCACGACCCUUCAGCCAUACCCAUUCCCAUCUUUCCUCUACCCCACAACCACCUCGGCUAAGCCCAAUCCUAAUCCACCCCGAGUCAUCCUGGCCCAGAUCUCGCACCCCUCAGCGACCACCGACCAGACCACACCGGACCCAGCCUGGGCUGCACACUACUGACACUACUUAACCCAACCGCCUCAGCUUGUUGAGCUGGCAGAGCUGGUUAGCUAACUAUGACGAGCAGACUACAAUACAUUGACCUAACCUCAGCUUUCUACACUGCCAUAUACUAUCCUGAGCUAAACGGCAACUUGGUUUAGGUCGAGAAAAAUACCCAAGCUUCUUAUUUGACCUAGGGAUUACGCCUAUUCUUAUUUAACCUAAGGAUUACUCCUAUGAAGUAUUUGGGUCGAUGGUUCAAUCGAACCUUGACUAUGCUUGUCCAUAGGAUGUAUGCCUGACCGUGACCCUAGUCAGAAUCGAUUACAAGAGUCCUUCUCGUAUUUUUUUGUACGCGAACUAUGACUUCGAAUAUACAUAGUUUAAUUCUAGUAUAUACAGUCUAUGAGUUUAGUCUAUUUGGAGUCUCUUGUUUAAGAUAUUAGAUUAUUUUGCUUAAACUAGUAACAAAAAGUUAAUGGGUUCAACAAUGUUUUCAUUUAAUGUAAUAAAUAUAAUUGAAUAAUGAGACAAGUAUAGAUGUCAUCCGGAUACAGAAACGUGCUUUUAUACGCCAAAUUGAGAUUGUGUGGAUGUUGCAGCCAAUUUAGUCGAGAGAACCCUUCAUUGGGCUGUGCAAAAACUAAUCUCGUAAAUAAGACCAUUUUUGUUCAUUGGGUGUAUUAGUGUCGUAUUUGUUAUAUGUUAAGAUUAAAUUAUUUAUAUCCGGCCUGAUAUGUACAAAUCUAUAAACUUUGCGUUUAGUAUUUCAUAUCUUACUGAAUGUUCUAUAUUGCUCUCACCCCUUUUUGUUCUUCACUUCAAGUGAGACAAACAAAUAGAUGAUAUUUGGAUGAAUCGGUGUUAUUGAAUAGUUUUUCAUUUGGAUGUUAUUUAGAUUUGAAAGAUUUGGAAAUGAGUUAUAACUUAUUAUCGGUGGCACAGCUCUUACAGCUCUCGAGAGAAAAUGAGAAGGGUGUUAAAUGUUAAUUAAAUGUUUGAGAAAAUUAUUGUUCCUGUGGAACGGUCUUGGAAAAAUACAUGAGCCUGGCCAAAUAAUUGUGCCCGAGGAAGAAAACAAAGAAUAGUCUUGGACACUUUGGCCAUUAAAUGGAAGAAAACAAAGACAUGGUCUUGGACACUUUGGCCAUUAAAAAUGCAUUUAUGUUCUAAACAAAAUAUAAGAACAAGAUGGUCUAAUAAUGUGGCUAGUUAACAAGGAGCUUAAUAAAAGGUUAGUAGAAUAGAGGUAAGAAAGAAGCGUUGUUAUCAAUAUCUAAUUGGUGAUAAACUAACUAAACAGUAAUCUUUAACAAGCAAACAAAACGACUGAAUAGUAUAUAACUAGUUUAAGUGAAAGAAAUAUAACAUAUAAAAAAACAAAAUACAUACUUUUUAAUUAAACUAAGGGUUAAGUCAUUUCACUAUAAACAUACAUGAAUUCUUCAAAGAACACAAAGUCAACAUAACCCAUAUUGUAAGUUACAGUUGACCAACAAUAUAAGUUAAUCCAAGUCAAGCGUGUUGAGCACGAUUAAUCAUCUGUUUUGAUGAUAGCAACGGUCAACUAUUAAUCUUCUUGACUUGAAGAAACUUUGGAACCAUUGGAUCCAUUUGCAUCUUAUAUAAAUAACUCAUGUGAAGAGCUUAAUAUCACACUUCCUUCCACUUCAAAACAGAAAUCCAAAACAUCACAAAAGUAUUAAACAAACACUUAAAAACAGAAGAAAGAAAAAAAACAAAAGAAGAAGAAAUGGGUUUAAAAAUGAAAGAGAGAUCAACAAAAGGAGGUUUUGUUGUGAUAUUGGUUCUAGUCUUUUGUUGCUUCUUCGAGAAUAUGGGUAAGCCUAAAGUUUCCUCUCCUUCAAGAUAUAAAUAUAUAAUUAUGUUUAAUUAAAUUUAUCUUGUAUUUAAAAAGUUGUACUAUAUCUGAAAAAUUCAUAAAUUAAAUAUAUAGAAUCAGAAAAUACUAUUUACAAUUUAAUGAUCACAUCUGUUAUUUUAAUUGCUAAGGUGAUAUCACUUAUAGGGUGUUAUGUUAAAAAAAAAGAAAGAUAACCUAACGUUUUUUUUUUAUUUUCAGUUUUUAAGUUCAAAUCAUGUUUUAGACAUAGAGCCCAACAUAAUUUGAGCCCAAACAUUUUAAACCCACAAUUACUUUUUAAUAAUGUAAAAACGUCAACCUUCGUUUAUGUUUUGUUAAACUAUUUUAAUCUUUAUGUUUUGUUAAACUAUUUCACACAGGGGGCAGAUCUCCUUAGAAGGGGAGUCACUCGCCACGAUGCUUCCAGUUUCACCAUUCUUGAAACUCUUAUGAACCACAAAGCCAAUAUAAGAGCUCUGUUUAAAUCCAACGGCUGAAUUUUAUCACAGACCACCGCUAAGCUUGAAGAGGGAAGAGAAGUGGAGUGCUGCGUUUUGGAAGUUGGUUACUUGGAGUUUACAAGAUGAAGAUGGAACCCGUGACGAGGAAGACGAGGAGAAGUGUUACUUAGAAUAUCCUAACGUUGAGGAUGUAGACAAUGUGUGAUCUUAGCGAUGAAGAUUAGUGUAGCUUUAAUAUAUGCUACUACGGUCCUUGAGCUCCCUAACAAGUACUAGCAAAUAAUGUGUAUUUUGAAAAAAUAAAAUAAUUUUGUAAUGCAAGUAGUUUGAAACUUUGAGUAUUUAUUCAAACAACGGAUAUAUACAGAGUUGAUAACUUGAUAUGGACCCCCAAAUAAGUUGGUGUUGCGCUGUCACAAUAUCUAUCUUUUUAAUUUCAUAUACAUGACGUAAGCUUCUUCAUCUUCUUCUCUUUCUCUUUCCGUUGUUCCACGCUCUCUGUUUCAUGUUUAGGCCCUUUUUACAUUCUCUAUAUUUUACCUUAAUUAUACUUUUUGAAUUUUCCUUCUGUUUUGGGAGAUGUCUCUAACUUGAGUUAAUCGUCAAAAGCUAAGAUCAAUUUUGUUGUCUUACUUCCGAUAAAUUUUAUUCUUUAAUUUGCACAAAUCGUAAACAACACCAACAUCCCGUAAAUCAUACCACCCCACUGAUAACUAAAGUAACCAGCCCCGCGCUUGCGCGGGGUCUCAGCACCUAGUUUAUUUCAAUGGUUUACUGCUUUUGUGGACUGCUUGCCAUAUGCUCUGUAUCAACACUUCUUGUCACCUAUUAAACAAAAAGCUCAGAAAUUAGCUAUAUAAAUGUCUGCGAAUAUUUAUAACUGAACUCAAGUUCCAGUUCUAACACGUCUUUUGUUAUCUGUCCAUCAGCGAUUAUGAGAAGAACAUGGUACCGGCCUCCACUUUCUUCCACAAUCGUCAUGGCUCUUUCGAUGAUGCGUGCAAAAGAUGUCAGACCUGCUACAAAGCCAGGAAAAAAAAUCAAGAAAGAGUACUUCUCAUGUGUUAUCAUCAAACUCUCCAAUCAUAUAAGACCAAUGAGUAUCAUCAAAUGCUGAAGCAUAGCUGCAUAUAUAUAUAUAUAUAUAUAUAUAUAUAUAUGGAAAAAUACCAGAGAUAGGACUUCAAUUGGUUUCACAUGCUGCACAGUACCAUUGGAUCCAAGUCGAACUAUUGGAGAUCUACAACAUAAUUUGGAUAAUUUUUUGAGAAGACAAGUAUUCUUACGCAAGAGUCGCGACUUUCACAAAUGGUGGAAACAAUAUCAUUGAUUCAAUCUAAUGCAUCUUCGGUCAGAUUUUCAUGAACUCAGAAAUCUGAUUCCAUCCUCUUCUUCACAUGGCUUGUCCGGUAAACCUAAAAUCGCAUCAAUCUCAAGGAAAUCCAGGAGUAAGUUAUUUAUGUCUGAAAUCAAACAGAACCCAGAGAGAAAGAAAUAAGCAAUACCUGUAGAUCUUCCAACCAUGGCUUUAAAACAGAAAUCAUCAAAGGCAAGCCCUUCCAAUCAUGGAAGCUGAAGAUGUUUCCAAAGAGGAUUGUGGGAAAGGUAAGUUUUUAUGAGAUUCGCGAAGACUUAAGAGAAUCAUCAAUAGAUGGAAAGAUUAGUGGUAAAUCUGAAACCAAAAAAAAAUCUGAAACGUCGAAGAGGCGUCUUAAGAGACAAUGUGAUCAGGAAAGCCCAUGGACCUGUUUGUAAAACAGUAAAAACCCAGUAAAUUUUUGAGAAACAAAAUCUGGCCCAUUAAACAAAUUUACCGAGACAACAAUCAUAAAACACGUUAAACGAAUAAAAAAAAGUAUGCCACGUGUCCUCAUUUGCCCUUUAUUCCAUGCUCAUGUGGCAGCAGGAUGUGAGAGAAAACUCUCCUUUAUAUAUAUAUAUAUAUAAAGAGAAAAUCCUGUUUUAUUAUUAUAGAUAUAUAUAUAUAUAUAUAGAUAGAUAGACUUUAUAUAUAUAGAUAACUUUUUUUUUUUUGGUAAAAAUGUUAAGAUAUUAUUACCAACUUUUUGUUUUUGACAGAAGCACAAAAUUAACAAGAAACAAAAAAGAAAAGAAAAAUCUAAACAUAAAUUCGAUCUGGUUACAACAGGUAAGGCAAACACAACAACUACCACCGCAGUCCCAAGGCUCAACCAAGUUCGCACCAUCCACUUGCCGCAAAAAGAUAAACCAAGUUCAACUGAGAGUCGGAACCCGGUAAUUCUGGCCUCCCCGAUAAUCCGCUCUUAAAAAUAAUGGCCCACUUGCAAACAGCUCGCCGAGAGCUUCAAAGCACCUGCCCAUACGAACAAACAGCAACAGCAGCAGCCACACACACCCGUAUAACCAAACUAAGCAUUUAUUGGGGGGAGAGACAGACGAGCCCGCUGCCAAAGCUCAGAAACUAUCCUAGGUAGACAGAACCGUCAAUGAGACGCGGAUGCAGUCUCACGGUUCACGACAUGCUGCCACAAGAACCUACCUCACUCGGUUGACAACUCUGAGAAAUAGAACUCCUUUCACGCCUCCACUGCUGAGAACCAGCCGCAGAAUCCACAAAGAACAUGAACAACUUGGCUACCAGAGCCACCACAACCACCAUAAUAACCAAGAAACGAGAUACUAAUCCCACGCCGGAGCGACAGACCACAGCAGGCUACACCAAAGCAACGCCACAACAGAUCCAAGGAGAACAUACCUUAUCUG
rnacentral:lncRNA from 1 species